rnacentral:rRNA from 1 species
UGGGGAAUAUUGCACAAUGGGCGCAAGCCUGAUGCAGCCAUGCCGCGUGUAUGAAGAAGGCCUUCGGGUUGUAAAGUACUUUCAGCGAGGAGGAAGGCGAUAAGGUUAAUAACCUUGUCGAUUGACGUUACUCGCAGAAGAAGCACCGGCUAACUCCGUGCCAGCAGCCGCGGUAAUACGGAGGGUGCAAGCGUUAAUCGGAAUUACUGGGCGUAAAGCGCACGCAGGCGGUCUGUUAAGUCAGAUGUGAAAUCCCCGGGCUCAACCUGGGAACUGCAUUUGAAACUGGCAGGCUUGAGUCUUGUAGAGGGGGGUAGAAUUCCAGGUGUAGCGGUGAAAUGCGUAGAGAUCUGGAGGAAUACCGGUGGCGAAGGCGGCCCCCUGGACAAAGACUGACGCUCAGGUGCGAAAGCGUGGGGCAGCAAACAGGAUUAGAUACCCUGGUAGUCCACGCUGUAAACGAUGUCGACUUGGAGGUUGUUCCCUUGAGGAGUGGCUUCCGGAGCUAAC